rnacentral:rRNA from 1 species
UACGAAGGGGGCUAGCGUUGCUCGGAAUCACUGGGCGUAAAGGGUGCGUAGGCGGGGUUUUAAGUCAGAGGUGAAAUCCUGGAGCUCAACUCCAGAACUGCCUUUGAUACUGAAGAUCUUGAGUUCGGGAGAGGUGAGUGGAACUGCGAGUGUAGAGGUGAAAUUCGUAGAUAUUCGCAAGAACACCAGUGGCGAAGGCGGCUCACUGGCCCGAUACUGACGCUGAGGCACGAAAGCGUGGGGAGCAAACAGG